UACGUAGGGGGCGAGCGUUGUCCGGAAUUACUGGGCGUAAAGCGCAUGUAGGCGGGCGACUAAGUCAGGGGUGAAAACCGUGGGCUCAACCUACGGCUUGCCCUUGAUACUGGUCGUCUUGAGUACAGGAGAGGGAAGCGGAAUUCCCGGUGUAGCGGUGAAAUGCGUAGAGAUCAGGAGGAACACCGAUGGCGAAGGCAGCCCCCUGGGCCUGUACUGACGCUCAUGCACGAAAGCGUGGGGAGCAAACAGG
rnacentral:rRNA from 1 species